rnacentral:misc_RNA from 1 species
UAAAAUCGUGUGGGCUAGUUGUAUCCUCCCUGACAAGCCCAGUUUCAACUUUGAAGCAUGACAGCUGUUAGGUGGUUGAUGUUGAAUUGUCGACGAUUCCGUCUGUCGUUGUACUUGAGUAUUUGAGGAAUCAUAUAGAGCCGUGUAGUCUUAAGUCUGUCGUAGUUUAUCGAAUAGCCAACAAAAAAUAUUUUAACUAAUGUUUGAAGCAGAAGUAUGAUAUUUUUUUUUAAAAAGAAAUAUACUUUUAUUUGAGGAGGAGUAAAACGGAAUUUUGUGUGUGGAUUGUUAUGUUCGCUAUACUUCACACUGUCUCAACCAUGGAAUAUCGUGUUGAAUAGCUAAUUUUACAGUUAAUGACCUAGGUUGGUGAGGAGAGCCAUCGAAAGACUAUUUGAGAAACACUCGGUUUCGGUUGUUGAGGCUCACGUGGUAAUAAGAUAACGUUGUACACUCAAUUACGUAUUUUACCCCUUGUGCCCAGUGAUGCAUCGUGUUAAAGGGCCGUCCGCCUUGUUUGGGGUUGAACGAAAACCCAAGCCUCAAGAACAAAAACGAUUAAUUCAAUCAAACUAUUCUGUGAGAUGGGAGGAAUUCGUGGCACACGGGUCCAAUGUCAGCUGUUUAGCUCUUGGAAAGAAAUCUGGCCGGGUCAUUGUCACUGGGGGCGAAGACAAAAAGGUCAAUCUAUGGGCAGUAGGAAAACCAAAUUGUAUAAUGAGCCUUACUGGUCACAUAACAGCAGUAGAAUGUGUCAAGUUUAAUCAUUCAGAAGAUGUGGUUUGUGCUGGCUCGGUGUCUGGAGCACUGAAGGUUUGGGAUUUGGAAGCAGCAAAAAUUCUUAGAACAUUGACUGGACACAAAUCAAGUGUAAAAUGUUUGGACUUCCAUCCUUAUGGUGACUUUAUUGCAUUUGGCUCUUUAGACACCAACAUAAAGCUAUGGGACAUAAGAAGAAAAGGUUGUAUCUACACAUAUAAGGGACACAGUAAGCCAGUUAAUAACUUAAAGUUUAGUCCUGAUGGAAGAUGGAUUGCAUCUGCUGGAGAUGAUGGAACAGUUAAGUUGUGGGACCUACCUUCUGGUAAAAUGUUAACAGAAUUCAGGGGACACACAGGACCUGUCACUGAUGUAGAGUUCCAUCCCAAUGAGUUUCUUUUAGCUAGUGGAAGCACAGAUAGAUCAGUUAGGUUUUGGGAUUUGGAGAAUUUCCAACAAGUUUCAUCAAGUGAUGGAGACUGUGGUCCAAUUAGUUGUAUAUACUUCAGUCCUGAUGGAGAAUGUGUUUUUGGUGGAUCUCAAGAUGUGUUGAAAGUGUAUGGCUGGGAACCAUUUCGUACUUUUGACACCCUGGUGAUGGGAUGGGGAAGAGUUGCAGAUAUUUCAGUAUCUCAGAAUCAGCUGAUUGCAGGAGCUUUUUCCUUUACAAAUGUGUGUGUCUAUGUAGUAGAUUUGAAAAGGGUACAGCCAUUUGGAGCUCCUCCAGUUAGUCCAACUAAAUCUUGUGCACCAUAUACUACUACUACUUCACCUGGCAACCACAUUAGAAAGAGCUUCAUUAAAGGGCAAACAGCAGGUGAUCAGACUUUGUCACUGCAGGUACUGACAGGUGAAGACUCGGAUAACCUUAUUUCCCAGUCUGACUCUGGUGAUGAUCCUCAGUCCUGUGCUGACAUAAAGGAACAUAGCUACUACAACGAAAUUUUUCAUCCAGCUAGGGAGAUAUGUCGAACUCCUCCCAAAACAAAACCUUUUCCAGCUCCACCAGAAGAUCUUCUUAGUAACAGUAGCUCACAAUUUGGAAUAAUCAAACCUUCAGAGAAGGCUACACCUACUCUUUUCACAGCACUGCCAGAGAAUUCUUUCAAUCCUAUUGUAGAAAGGUGUGAAAAAAUAUCAUCUUCUUCCACUUUGGUUAAUAACACUUUGUCUUCUCCUGGUCUCAAUACAUCGUACACCAAAAUUAUGGACUUUAACUCUCUAAAGUGUAGCCCUCUGCAGCAUUCUGUAGAUACACCAUUAACAAAUCAUGUUCAACCAUUGAAAAAACCCAUGAACAUAGUUAGCAAAACCAUGUGGAAUUCAGAACCCUCCUCUGUGUCCAUAGUCAGACCUGUGCCUAUAGUACCUGAGAAAGAUGUCCAACUACGAAAGUCGGUAGCCUUUCCUGAGCAGACGUAUGGAACAACUCCUGGCUUUUCAGAUUUUAACACUCUAUUCCCAGACAAUCAACCACACAGAGGUCCAGGAAAUUAUGUAGAAUUUGUACCAGAUCAACGGGACCAUCCAGUAGGACUAGAGUUAGAAGAUUUCCUACCUAGACAUUUACAGAAUAGUCUUCGAAUUGGAAGUCAACCUCAGCCAGAAAUGUCAGAGGCAGAAGCCAUGUCUUCUAUCUUCAAGGGCCACCAGUCAAUGAUCACAGUUUUCCAACAUCGACGCAAAAAUCUUCAGAUUGUUUUAGCUCAGUGGACUACAAAGGAACCACAGUUUUUAUUGCAUUUAGACUGCGUUAGAUGCUGCAAUCAACAUGAAUGAUAUGGCUCUUAUAGUGGACAUGCUGAACAUCAUCUGUUUAAGGGCGCAACUCUGGAGUCUGGAUAUUUGUCAGCUACUGCUGCCUACUAUUUUUGAGUUGUUACAGAGUAAAUUUGAAUCGUAUAUGUCAGUGGGAUGCAACAGUUUAAAGCUGAUCCUGAAAAAUUUUGCAACUGUGAUAAAAACC